GAAGAUGAAAAGUUAGACAUGACUCCAGUUGUCAGCUCUGAUCAACAUCCAGUCAAGUUUUUGAGAUUAUCAGUGCAAUUGGUUGACUGUUGUGCAACACAAAGUCAUCACAGAACAGCCAGCAAGAACAAUGGAGAUGGAGAAAACCCCAAUAAUGUAGGGAUAGCAGGAAAGGCAUCAGAAUUGCCAUUGUCUCCAGUCCCCAACUUCACAGCCGUCCCAGAGACAGAGGUGGAUAAUGGGAGGCCAUAUAAGUCUUCUGUCUGUGGAGAGGAUUUCUCCAGCAAGCCAUCAAUGGAAAAGCACCAGCAGGACAUUCACACAGUAGAAAAGCCUCAUCUUGAACAAGAACAGCAUACACACACAGGAAAAACGCCCCACCACCACAAACAUCAUGGCAAACGUGUUACGAGGACAAAUGCUCUCUCCGCUCAGAAGCGCUCUGACACAGGAGACAAGCGUCACCACUGUGACCAAUGUGACCAGAGUUUCUCACAUGCACAAACCCUCAGGAGACACAAGUUCAUCCACACAGGAGAGAAACCUCACAAAUGUACUGAAUGCAGCAAAUGUUUUAGAUAUUUUGAAGGUCUCAUAAAGCACAGGCGCAUUCACACAGGAGAGAAGCCACAUCACUGUGGAGAAUGUGGCAAGAAUUUCACACGCGCAGGCAACCUCGCCAGGCACAAGCUCAUCCACACAGGACACAAGCCGUACUGCUGUGGAGAAUGUGACAAGAGCUUCAGGCAAGCAGGACACCUCAGGAAUCACAAGCUCAUCCACACAGGAGAGAAACCUCACAAAUGUACUGAAUGCAGCAAAUGUUUUAGACAUUUUGAAGGUCUCAUAAAGCACAGGCGCAUUCACACAGGCGAGAAGCUCCACCACUGUGGAGAAUGUGGCAAGAAUUUCACACAAGCAAUCGACCUCGCCAGGCACAAGCUCAUCCACACAGGACAGAAGCCGUACUAUUGUGACCAGUGUGGCAAGAGCUUCAGGCAUGCAGGAACCCUUAGGAAGCACAAGCUCAUCCACACAGGAGAGAAAUCAUACAAAUGUACUGAAUGCAGCAAAUGUUUUAGAGAAUUGGGACAUCUGAAAAGGCAUCAGCGCAUCCACACAGGAGAGAGACCGUACGAUUGUGAACAGUGUGGGGGGAGCUUCAGGCAUGCAGGAACCCUCAAAAAUCACAAGCUCAUCCACACAGGAGAGAGACCGUACUGCUGUGGACAGUGUGGGAAGAGUUUCAGGUGUGCAGAGCACCUCAGGAAUCACCAGCUCAUCCACACAGGACAGAAACCCUACAAAUGUACUGAAUGCAGCAAAUGUUUUAGAGAAUCUGGAACUCUCAAAAAGCACCAGCUCAUCCACACAGGAGAGAAGCUCCACCACUGUGUAGAAUGUGGCAAGAAUUUCACACAAGCAAGUGACCUCAGGAGACACAAGCUCAUCCACACAGGACAGAAGCCAUACUAUUGUGACCAGUGUGGCAAGAGUUUCAGGCAUGCAGUAACCCUUAGGAAGCACAAGCUCAUCCACACAGGAGAGAAAUCCUACAAAUGUACUGAAUGCAGCAAAUGUUUUAGAGAAUCGGGAAAUCUGAAAAGGCAUCAGCGCAUCCACACAGGAGAGAGACCGUACGAUUGUGAACAGUGUGGGGGGAGCUUCAGGCAUGCAGGAACCCUCAAAAAACACCAGCUCAUCCACACAGGAGAGAGACCGUACAAAGUCUGUUCCCAUAAGUCCCAUCACUCGGCGGCCAUCUUGGCUACGCCUCAAACUGACUAUUAGAGAUUAGUCAAUGAUGGGGUAUAUAAGAAUGAAUGGGGGAAAUAAUGUUGUGUGACAGUGGGACAACACAGCGAUACACAACUCAUAUGGUUGGAAUCACAAUGAAAAACUGGUUUUAAUGGCAGUCUUAGAAUGACCGAAACAUGAAAGAAACACUUUAAAACAGCGUUUUUCUUUAUGCUAUUUUUGAUCUGCGCAUGCGCCACAUUCCACGACAACGUUCUGUUUUGCGGCAGGUGAGAGCAAGUUGCGUGGCGUGGACUUCACCUCUUCCGGCCGGCUGUCAAACGGGCAUCCAUUCUCCGGUCAUCGUACAGAAAAGACACUGGAUUUAUUUUCUGAUAGCCAAAGCAGUAGCCUAAGCAGUCGUCUCUGCUCAUCAGUAAUAAAAAAAAUAGGCUAUUGAAUAAAUUAAAGAUGUAGCUUGCCUCAAAAUUGGUGUUUUAAACUGUGAUAUCAUUGUUGCCUAAACUGAUAAUAGCUAUGACAAACGGUGAAAAAUAUAAGAAAAAAAAGCUAAACUGAUCAAAGUUGAAUGUCUUGUAGACUUGCUCCCGUUUUGCUUUUUCUUACUUAUUUGUUUUCAACCAUAAGAAAAACAACUCAUGUCUAUGUGCGGCUGUUUUUGUUUCCGUGAUUAUCUGUCCCUUUGUCCUGCACCUGCAUUUUGGAUGGGCGCAGAAAGGGGAUUGGUCGAUUUGCGCACUCUGCCCAAUUCACAAUUACUUCAAAACCAAGUGCUUUUGUGAUGUAGCCUAGGCCUAUUUAAAUAACUACUGGUAGGCUAAAUGAAUAGUGUUAGUAGGCCUAAGCCACAACUAUUACAUAGCUAUUACACUAUUUAGGCUACUGCAUUGCACUGUACAAUUUGUACAUGAGAUGGGCCUGCCCUAGAUAGACUGUGUUGUUACUGAAAGACACUGCAAGCCUAACAAGGACCCACUACAAACUUUAUCCAAAUGCAGAGUAAGCUGAUGGUCAGACAAGUAGCCUACACACCUCUACUGGUUACUCAGAUAAGUUAGGCCUACUUGUGUGCGUGUGUGUGUUUUUUUUUUUUUUUUUUUACAACUUUUGUCAUUAUGUCCUAUAUACAAACAAAAUGAGAACUUGUGUAUUGGAACUGCUAUCAACACAGACGUGAAAAGUGGCUUUGACACACCCAAGACCUGCCACCCAAUAUGACUGCUGAGUGCUGACUGAAGAAGCAAAACAAGGCGACUACAUGGUCUGUGAAGAUCAUUUCAGGCCGAAAACCUGCAUUUCAAAGCCAAAGAACACGUCUGACUCCAGGUGCUGUCCUCGUCCUUGUCCGGCAGCAGGUCACCCCUGUUCAGAGGAAAAGAGCUGUCAACAUACCUAUGGACACCGAGGAGAAUCCAGAGGAGCAUGUAGGCCUAAGGCACAUCAAGCAACCUGGAGCCACUGCUGCAAAAAAGACAA